GACGAACGCUGGCGGCGUGCUUAACACAUGCAAGUCGAACGGAAAGGCCCUGCUUUUGUGGGGUGCUCGAGUGGCGAACGGGUGAGUAACACGUGAGUAACCUGCCCUUGACUUUGGGAUAACUUCAGGAAACUGGGGCUAAUACCGGAUAGGAGCUCCUGCUGCAUGGUGGGGGUUGGAAAGUUUCGGCGGUUGGGGAGGGACUCGCGGCUUAUCAGCUUGUUGGUGGGGUAGUGGCUUACCAAGGCUUUGACGGGUAGCCGGCCUGAGAGGGUGACCGGCCACAUUGGGACUGAGGUACGGCCCAGACUCCUACGGGAGGCAGCAGUGGGGAAUAUUGCACAAUGGGCGGAAGCCUGAUGCAGCAACGCCGCGUGCGGGAUGACGGCCUUCGGGUUGUAAACCGCUUUCGCCUGUGACGAAGCGUGAGUGACGGUAAUGGGUAAAGAAGCACCGGCUAACUACGUG
rnacentral:rRNA from 1 species